UAUGAUUAUAUCACCUUGAAACACCAGUUCUCGUACGAUCACCGAAGUUAAGCAACGGUAAACCCGGUCAGUACCUAGAUGAGUGACCGCUUGGGAAUACAAAGUGCUGUAAU